GCUACCAACAGGGUACUGACAGAUGUCUUUAUUCCUCUUAAAGAUAGGAGAUUAUCUGUGGACUUUUCAGCUGCAAUUGACUGGUCCUUGAUUUUUGCUGCAAACGACUAUCCUUUGACUUUCUAUCACCAGCUGAUGUUUGCUUGCACUCAGACUGUUCAUCUAGUUAAAUACUCCAUAUGAAUUGAGGCUCUUCAGUGCCCAUGUUAUUGUCUUACUUAAUUCCCCUGUAUUCACCUUGAUUUUAUUACGCUUCAAGUCCUGUCAGUUGAACUUGGAUUUCAAUAUCCACCCUGAGGGGGUUUUUCCUUGACUGGCUGUGCAUUAAGCUAGGG